rnacentral:rRNA from 1 species
CCUACGGGCGGCAGCAGUGAGGAAUAUUGGUCAAUGGACGAGAGUCUGAACCAGCCAAGUAGCGUGAAGGAUGACUGCCCUAUGGGUUGUAAACUUCUUUUAUAUGGGAAUAAAAUGUUCCACGUGUGGGAUUUUGUAUGUACCAUAUAAAUAAGGAUCGGCUAACUCCGUGCCAGCAGCCGCGGUAAUACGGAGGAUCCGAGCGUUAUCCGGAUUUAUUGGGUUUAAAGGGAGCGUAGGUGGAUUGUUAAGUCAGUUGUGAAAGUUUGCGGCUCAACCGUAAAAUUGCAGUUGAAACUGGCAGUCUUGAGUACAGUAGAGGUGGGCGGAAUUCGUGGUGUAGCGGUGAAAUGCUUAGAUAUCACGAAGAACUCCGAUUGCGAAGGCAGUUCACUGGACUGCAACUGACACUGAGGCUCGAAAGUGUGGGUAUCAAACAGGAUUAGAUACCCGUGUAGUC